rnacentral:rRNA from 1 species
UACGUAGGGUGCGAGCGUUAAUCGGAAUUACUGGGCGUAAAGUGUGCGCAGGCGGCCGAGCAAGUCGAGUGUGAAAUCCCCGGGCUUAACUUGGGAAUUGCGCUCGAAACUACUUGGCUGGAGUGUGGCAGAGGAAGGUGGAAUUCCACGUGUAGCGGUGAAAUGCGUAGAGAUGUGGAGGAACACCGAUGGCGAAGGCAGCCUUCUGGGCCAACACUGACGCUCAUGCACGAAAGCGUGGGGAGCAAACAGG